rnacentral:tRNA from 1 species
AUUUCAAUAAGUUAAAAAAACUAUCGACCUUCAAAGUCGAAUAUGGUUUAUAAUGCCUUGAGGUA